GUCUGCAUGGCUCAGUUGGUUAGAGCGCCGGUCUCAUACGUUGCUAAGUUAUGAGCAUCUUUGUGAUGUGUAAUCCGGAGAUCGCCAGUUCGAUCCUGGCUGCGGACA
rnacentral:tRNA from 1 species